rnacentral:rRNA from 1 species
GCUCGUGGAUCGAUGAAGACCGCAGCUAAAUGCGCGUCAGAAUGUGAACUGCAGGACACAUGAACACCGACAAGUUGAACGCAUAUUGCACACCGUACAACAGUACGAUGUACACAUUUUUGAGUGCCUAUGUUUAUCCAUUCAACUGUACGUGCGUGCGCGUCCCGCCACAGCGCUGGCGCGAGGACAGGCGCACCGCGUACGCGCAGUGACGUUGAAUACAUCCCCUAGACCAACGCGCUUGGUUACGUUGUAUUUCAUCGGCAGGACACCAACAACCAGUAGGCCUCAAAUAAUGUGUGACUACCCCCUAAAUUUAAGCA